GGGCCUGUAGCUCAACUGGACAGAGCGUCCGGCUUUUUACCGGAAGGUUGGGGGUUCGACUCCCUUCGGGCUCA
rnacentral:tRNA from 1 species